GACGAACGCUGGCGGCGCGCCUAACACAUGCAAGUCGAACGGAGUCAAGAGGAGCUUGCUUUUCUUGACUUAGUGGCGAAAGGGUGAGUAACGCGUGAGUAACCUGCCCUGGAGUGGGGGACAACAGUUGGAAACGACUGCUAAUACCGCAUAAGCCCACGGAUCCGCAUGGAUCUGCGGGAAAAGGGUUUAUUCGCUUCAGGAUGGACUCGCGUCCAAUUAGCUAGUUGGUGAGGUAACGGCCCACCAAGGCGACGAUUGGUAGCCGGGCUGAGAGGUUGAACGGCCACAUUGGGACUGAGACACGGCCCAGACUCCUACGGGAGGCAGCAGUGGGGGAUAUUGCACAAUGGGGGAAACCCUGAUGCAGCGACGCCGCGUGGAGGAAGAAGGUUUUCGGAUUGUAAACUCCUGUCGUUAGGGACGAUAAUGACGGUACCUAACAAGAAAGCACCGGCUAACUACGUG
rnacentral:rRNA from 1 species